ACGGGAGGCAGCAGUGGGGAAUAUUGGACAAUGGGCGGAAGCCUGAUCCAGCAACGCCGCGUGAGGGAUGACGGCCUUCGGGUUGUAAACCUCUUUCAGCACAGACGAAGCCUUGUCUUUUUGGGUGGGGUGACGGUAUGUGCAGAAGAAGCACCGGCCAACUACGUGCCAGCAGCCGCGGUAAUACGUAGGGUGCGAGCGUUGUCCGGAAUUAUUGGGCGUAAAGGGCUCGUAGGCGGUUUGUCGCGUCGGGAGUGAAAACACCGGGCUUAACUCGGUGCUUGCUUUCGAUACGGGCAGACUAGAGGUAUGCAGGGGAGAACGGAAUUCCUGGUGUAGCGGUGAAAUGCGCAGAUAUCAGGAGGAACACCGGUGGCGAAGGCGGUUCUCUGGGCAUGACCUGACGCUGAGGAGCGAAAGUGUGGGGAGCGAACAGGAUUAGAUACCCUGGUA
rnacentral:rRNA from 1 species